rnacentral:rRNA from 1 species
GACGAACGCUGGCGGCGUGCCUAAUACAUGCAAGUUGAGCGAUGAAGAUUGGUGCUUGCACCAAUUUGAAGAGCAGCGAACGGGUGAGUAACGCGUGGGGAAUCUGCCUUUGAGCGGGGGACAACAUUUGGAAACGAAUGCUAAUACCGCAUAACAACUUUAAACAUAAGUUUUAAGUUUGAAAGAUGCAAUUGCAUCACUCAAAGAUGAUCCCGCGUUGUAUUAGCUAGUUGGUGAGGUAAAGGCUCACCAAGGCGAUGAUACAUAGCCGACCUGAGAGGGUGAUCGGCCACAUUGGGACUGAGACACGGCCCAAACUCCUACGGGAGGCAGCAGUAGGGAAUCUUAGGCAAUGGACGAAAGUCUGACCGAGCAACGCCGCGUGAGUGAAGAAGGUUUUCGGAUCGUAAAACUCUGUUGGUAGAGAAGAACGUUGGUGAGAGUGGAAAGCUCAUCAAGUGACGGUAACUACCCAGAAAGGGACGGCUAACUACGUG